UGGGGAAUAUUGCGCAAUGGGGGGAACCCUGACGCAGCCAUGCCGCGUGAAUGAAGAAGGCCUUCGGGUUGUAAAGUUCUUUCGGUAUUGAGGAAGGUUGAUGUGUUAAUAGCACAUCAAAUUGACGUUAAAUACAGAAGAAGCACCGGCUAACUCCGUGCCAGCAGCCGCGGUAAUACGGAGGGUGCGAGCGUUAAUCGGAAUAACUGGGCGUAAAGGGCACGCAGGCGGUUAUUUAAGUGAGGUGUGAAAGCCCUGGGCUUAACCUAGGAAUUGCAUUUCAGACUGGGUAACUAGAGUACUUUAGGGAGGGGUAGAAUUCCACGUGUAGCGGUGAAAUGCGUAGAGAUGUGGAGGAAUACCGAAGGCGAAGGCAGCCCCUUGGGAAUGUACUGACGCUCAUGUGCGAAAGCGUGGGGAGCAAACAGGAUUAGAUACCCUGGUAGUCCACGCUGUAAACGCUGUCGAUUUGGGGGUUGGGGUUUAACUCUGGCGCCCGUAGCUAACGUGAUAAAUCGACCGCCUGGGGAGUACGGCCGCAAGGU
rnacentral:rRNA from 1 species